rnacentral:tRNA from 1 species
GCCGAAGUGGUGAAAUUGGUAGACACGCUACCUUGAGGGGGUAGUGACCUACGGUCGUGCCGGUUCAAGUCCGGCCUUCGGCACCA